rnacentral:ribozyme from 14 species
AAGAGGACAAUGAGAAGGAAGAAGAGGACAUCGUUGUGAGAUCUCCUUUUUUUUUUCGUUCUCUCUCUCUCCCUUUCAUUCCUUUUCUCUGUUUAUUUGUUUCUUACUUUGU